CCCUUAGAUGUUCUGGGCAGCACGCGCGCUACAAUGGUCUUCGCAAACGGAUGCAUUCUCGAAGGAGAAUGCCAAUCUUGGAAUCUAUGCCUUGGUCGGGACAGUUGCUUGCAAUUUUUCGACUCGAACCAGGAAUUCCUUGUAAUCGUGAUUCAUCACAUCACGAUGAAUACGUCCCUGCCCUUUGUACACACCGCCCGUCGCUCCUACCGAUCGAAGAGUUAGGUGAAUUGUUUUGAUCGAUAAGAUUUGACUAUGGUCAACUCUCGUUGUGAAAUCCUGUGAAUCUGACUGUUUAGAGGAAGGAAAAGUCGUAACA
rnacentral:rRNA from 1 species